UACAAUUCGGCACCCUCCCCAAGGAAUAGGGAUUCAACGAAUGUCUGGAUGAAAAAUUAUGUUAGACUUUCAACUUUACCCUUCUCUUUCUCACAUCUAAAGCAAUCUCUUCUUUUUUUCAUUCUUCUUCCCAUUUUCUUCCAAACUUGUCUCACCAACUCUACUCCCUCUUUUUCAUGCUUCUAUUCUCACCAACUCUAUCUCCCUUUCACAAACCCUAACAAGGCCUUCAAUUAAGAAUCGUUUUUCUAACUCCAACCCUCAACAAGGCUUUCGAUUGAGAUGGAAACUUGAGAAGAGAAACAAUCGGCAGUCCUCCCUCAGUGAAUAAGCAUGUCUCAUCGCAAGUUUGAGCAUCUGAGGCAUAGUCAUUAGGCUUUCUCCAGAGGAAAAGAGCCUUCUGACAUCGAGGAAAAGUGAAGGCUUUCCCUAAAGAUGAUCCUACUAAGCCAUGCAGAUUAACUGCAUUCUUGGGUUAUAAGGCCAGAAUGACCCAUAUUGUGAGGGAAGUUGAAAAGCCUGGAUCAACGAUUGUUGCAAGAGGAGGGGUGGAGACUUUGAGGCCUGCUUUACAGAGGUUAUACAUGACAGGGGUUCUGCAUAUAGAGAUGCUCUUAAGAGUUUCAUAGAAGGAUAUCAAGAGGGUAUCCAGUAGAUCAUGGAGAAAAAGGAAGAUUCUUCUAAAGCACAGCAAGAAGGCAAUACUGAUAAAAAUUCAACUUGAUGGCUGAUAAGUGCAUAAUCGGAGAUGCAUGUGAGUACUUCUCCAGCAUACCUAUUGUAGAUACAAGUUUAGAGAUUUGGUGGAGCUGGGUUAGCAUGAAAUCACAAGAAUGAUACAUGUCAUGAGAAUUUUCCUGUAUUGAGAAAGUGACCUUUAGAAACUACAAAAAUAAUGGGAAUCUCCAUUGACAAUG